AUGUAAUCAAGAGUUAGGACAAUCUUUGUCUUGGCAGGAUAGAUCAAAAUUACUACACGCCCGUUGAAGACACUGCAGUCAGCGAAUCAUCCACCGCCUGAAACAUCGCCAACGCCAUAUUUUAAUUCACCGCCCUGAGCGUCGACGUACAAAGAUCUCGAGUCCCCGGCGCCGUCAGAAAGUGAUGAUCGUUCGCUAAUAAAAGAUGGUUCAAGCGAUGCAGUGAUAUUUCGAAAAAUUUACAGGAGGUUGCUAGGAUGCUAUGUGGUAUCACCUGUGGUUUUGGGCAAGUGGCAGGUCGCCAGGAUUAAAGGCCAGUCAAUCAAAUUUCAACCCAAUGAAGACCGGAAUAUCAUUGCGCAUGAUGGGACAGGGCUGGUGACCCUGAAAUCGAUCUUAAUUCUUCGGGCGAAUCCACUGGUUAGGACCAGCGUGGAGAGUUGACUGCAUGGAAGGGAACAGCACAGCCUUCGCGCCAUGAAAUAUACAGUGUCCGUCAUGCUGAGAUCACCGACAUAGAUUGAUACAAACCCAGCUUCGUUGUGUUUAAUUUACCAUCCGAGUGUUGUUCACUUGACAAAUAUCAAAUUAUCCAUUGAUUGAGAGCAAUUGUAGCUCCCUUACUUUCAAAAAAUACUUCUGGGGGAAUUAAAAAACAGAGAUCCUGAUGGUUGUAGAUGGAUGCAACACUUCCAUUUCAAUGUUAUUGUUAAAAAAACGUGGAUGACGAAAUCAGGGCCAAAUUAAUGAUAACCAAUAUAGCAUCACACAUCCUUAUAAUUCUGCAGCAAACAGAAAUUGUCCGACCCUCCUAUACAGUUAUAGAUAAAAAAGUAGUAAUAGUUAAAGAUAAAAAAGGGACGUUUCACUGCAGCAGGCAUGCUUCAACGUAAUCGUAUAUAUAGUUCAUUAAUAAGGUAUGGUAUGCCAGGAAAAUGCUUCAUCAAUUAACAGUCGAAACAUGCUAGAAAAUGUUAACAUGAUUCAUACAUAACACAUGUAGACUAGUAUUGAUCUUGGCAAGCAACCAGCUGGUCACAUUCUGAAACUGUUUCGAACGGUACGUGUGUGAAUUUCGUCGUGUUUAACAUGUUCAUGAUCAACGAAUGCGGCGAAUAGUGACACAACGACAGCUGUAUAGCUCAGUGCAGUAAGGAAUUCGAUUUACCGAUGUGCAAAAAGGGAGAGUGUGAUGUUUUCAACACGAAACCAUGAACUUGUUGUUUGAAUACGUCUGGAAUACGUGCUGAGUUAUACCCUCUGUGCUUGUUUCUCAUGGAAUUGUGUGCAAUUCACCAUAUCGAACACUGUGUCCCCAUUACACGUACACUAGCGCUGAUGUACAGUUGUUAAGGGAUGUAUGCAUGGUGUAAUUGGUUCUGAUCUGGCUUUCUGCGGUUGUCGCUACUGUACCGGUCGUAUUAUCAACGUUUCUUUGGAAUAGUUGCUGAUUAAUGUAUUCUGUGCUGGAUUGCGAUCAUCAACUAAUACAUGGAGUUCAAACCAAUGUGCGGCUAAUCAAGGAAGCAAGCCAAACGUUAUACGUUGCCUUCAUGUUUCUGGAUUCUUCCCCGACUAUAUGCGGGGACCGAACGCUGCAGUUCUACUUAGGUUUUACACUUGGCUUAUCACACGUUGCUUGUGAACGGUGCUCAUAACAAUUCAUCAAAAUGUAUCCUAAUAUACACUGCCACCGGACUAGUAAAAUGAGGUUUUUGCCUCGAGAAAAGCGCCCUCUAUUCAUUAUAGUGGUGAUCAUAAUAAUUGUGGAAGUGUUUGUACUGGCGCGGACAUUGAACCAUGAACACAAGCGAUUUCCCGCAAAAACAUUUGAUAUGAUGUUCAAAGAUAUCAAGAAGCGAAUCGCUGGAAGAGGAAAUGCUUGGUCGUCAUGACAACAGGCCGGGAAUAUGCAGCCAUUGAUACGAACUAUUUGCUCAUUGAUUUGUUUUGUCAUACAAUAACCACUAGGUUGUUUUUCAACUUCAAAUAUAAGAUCAUUCCUCUAAAAACCUUGGCCUCAAGAGUCUGACAAAGGUAUCGUGUGAAAAGGGUUGUUGUGGCACAGUCAGUUUUGUCAUUCAUCUGGUAGAUUUUGUUAAUAUGAUUGAUAUUAGGGUCAUGGGCUGUGCCUCUGAAGUUCAAUCCAAACAGAAUACUGAAUAUUGGGGGAGUCAAUUACAUGUACUUUUUAAAACAAUAGUGGCACAUAAACCGUUACGUUGUCAUAUAGUUUUAUUACAAAGUCUGGUUCCCCGUAUCCUUCUGCGUCAUUGAGCAGUAGGCAGGUUUUGCAACCCUCAAUGAAAACUACGAACGAACGACUUUCGUUAAACAUUUUCCUGAGUCCCAGCUCGCUCAAUGAAAAGUAUCUUAUGAUAAGGUGAAUUUGCGGCACAAGACUUGAUUAUCAUACGACACACCUUCAAAAAUAGUACUUCGCGUUAAAAGUGGUUUGCCUGCCUAGCUUGCAGACGAAACAUCGAGACGCGAUGGCGAUAGAUUUUCUCUUAUAUAUGUGAGAGUGUCCUUUUGAUCAUUCGUCAAAUGAAGACCCAGGUGCCGAUCUUAGAGUUCAAUAGUGACGGCAAUUCUCUUUUUUUAACGAGUCCCGAAAAUGUAUUUGGCGUGAAGUGCUUUUGAUAUAAAAACUGGGGCCUGAUGCACAAAGUACACUUAGCAGGCUACGCACCCGUAAGCGUCACUUAUUGUCUACGUAAGCAUGUAGUUGCGUGGUAUUCACAGAGUACACGCAAAACUACGUUAAUAGUAUUAAGCGUUAUGUUAUGUUCACGUGUGGUCGGUGGGUACGCGCAGCGCACACUUAGUUUCGAGGACGACUCGGAUGGCAGCUGCACUAGUUAUUAUAGAGGAAGAAAAUCAACGGGCGUUACGUCGCGAACGCAUUUUUUCGUGAUCGCGUGCAUCCCCUUGAUACUUUUGAGGAUGCCACGUCCAGUUCUUUUAGAAGUAAUGGACCUACUGAAGGCCGAUGUGUUACACCCAGCAAUGGGAUCCCAAGCAGUCCCGAGCGCUUUGCAAGGACUCACGGCACAGGGAGUGUCAAAGGGUUAAUGCUGUAAUUAGCAAUUUUGGUGGAAAGCAAGGCGGUUGCCCAAUGUCCUUUCCCAUGAUCUUUUAUUCAAUCUAAAUGCCAUCCCUUAGUGGUGCAAACAAGUUUUAUCUUGGUUCAGGCAAUUUGCCCUUGCUCGCUCAUGCGUGAAAAGCUAGGUGUGAUAUUUUGUACUGAUAUGCAUGAAACCCCUACCUACCAAUAUCCAUCGAAAAUAUUUUCCAAAAAUAUAAAGUGCUAAUUUUGGGGUAAUUUAUCAAACUGUAUACUUUUUUGAUACACCCUGUAUAGCCAGGCGGCACCUAUUUCUAUUAAGUGUGAUUACCCGGCAUACAGCAACGCCACCCCAUAGUUUACAAAAUCAUGUAAGGUCGGCCGGAGAAAUGUUCACCUAACCUUAUGUGUAAUCUUAUGAUAGUGAAAACGUUCCGUUAUGGCUAGGAGUGCUCAAAGACAGCUUUGUGAAUAAAUCUUAGCGUAAUCUUAUCUUCCUCGUAAACGUAGCGUAAGUGCACGCUAAGUGUAAUAUUUUACGGGUGCUUCGUGAAUCCGGCUCCAGGCCUUUGUUGGGUCACCCCUUUUCUCCGUUUUUCUCAUUUACAUCGAUAAUCAUCGUUUAUGUAGUUGUAGAAAUUGUCUAUGUAGUCAUAGGUUGAUCCCCACCGAUAAUACGAAAUUGUAUUUGCAGAAUGUCUCAACAUUUGUAAUAAACUGCGUUUAAUGAAUUUA